UACGUAGGGGGCAAGCGUUGUCCGGAAUUAUUGGGCGUAAAGAGCUUGUAGGCGGUUUGUCGCGUCUGCUGUGAAAAUCCGGGGCUCAACCCCGGACUUGCAGUGGGUACGGGCAGACUAGAGUGUGGUAGGGGAGACUGGAAUUCCUGGUGUAGCGGUGGAAUGCGCAGAUAUCAGGAGGAACACCGAUGGCGAAGGCAGGUCUCUGGGCCAUUACUGACGCUGAGGAGCGAAAGCGUGGGGAGCAAACAGG
rnacentral:rRNA from 1 species